rfam:Kluyvera ascorbata ATCC 33433 GKAS.assembly.088, whole genome shotgun sequence.
AAGGUAAUAGAUCAACCCCUUGAUUUAUCUAUCCCCUGAGUGAAACAACGAAUUGCUGUGUGUAGUCUUUGCCCAACUCCCACGUUGGGCUUUUUUUUGC